rnacentral:lncRNA from 1 species
UCUCUCUCUCGCAUAUGCUUUUAGAAUAAAUGCAUAUGCUUUUAGAAUAAACCGUUGCCUAAACUCUGCCCCCUUAUGGUGUAUCGAGGAAGACGGCCAAGGCCAAAUCAAACUGGAGCCGGUGAGUGGCUCCAGGAAAGUAGGAUUAGCUCGCUCCACCGCCGCCGCCGCAACCUCCGCCUCCACCACCGCCACCACCUCCACCGUCACCGCCUCCGCCUCCACCGCAGCCACCGCCUCCACCGUCACCACCACCGCCACCACCUCCGUCACCACCUCCGUCUCCCCCGCCAUCACAGCAACUGCACCAAGAGCCUGCACCGCAGUCACUUUCGUCCGCGCGAGAUUUCUUCUUCUUCUUCAUCUUCUUUAUCUCCUUCUCCCUCUUCUUCAUCUCCUUCAUCUCCUUUUCCCUCUUCUUUCUGUCGCUGUGACUGCAGGCGAAGAGAAUGGUUGGAAUGAUCGAUAGAGACGCCACGAGCAUGCAGAAGAGAAGGAGAGCUCCGGGGACUGUGUAGGUUGAGCCCCCGCCUGAACGGGCAGCCGAGCCGUAAGCGUCUAACAAGGCCCUGACCAUCUUUCUUCAACUCUUUCCGCCUUUCAAAGAGAGGAGUUCGAUUCAUUAUUUAUAGAUUUGAAUGUGCAGGAGGUCUGAUCUGCCGUGAUGGACUUCUCGUCCUGGAACUCACCGCGAAGGUACGGAUCGCAUAGAUUUUAUCGGCGUAGAGCGUCAAACAGAGAUCGGAAAGGGGCAGGGAAGAAGGGAGAGAGACAGACGAAGCACCCACGUGGAAUACACAGACAGGAAGUCAAAGUUCCCACCUUUGGUUUUUCUCGGAGUAUUGUAUGCCGGAGUCAAAGGUUUGACCGCCAACGUAAUCACCACGAAAUGUCAGAACCUAUUCAGUUCAUACAUGUCAUCAAGAUAUCAUACUUUACUGGUUAAAGUUUUAGAUUUUCAGGG